GGGGAUUUCCUACUCUUCCCUUAUUUCCCGCUUCGAUAUCGGACGACUUUUUCCAAAAGAAAACCGGGGCCUUUCAGUUUCUUCAAGUUCAAGAAUGGGUCGCACAGUGCAAUGGGCGCACCGUAAAGAAAGUGUGCGCUACAGUAGAACCGACUGGAAUCCAAUAUAUAUAGUUUUGAAGUGUGUGUGUUUUUUUUAAACAUUUAUUUCGUCAUGCGGGCUAACUUUUUUCGUGCUGUAGCAUUGCGAAAGUAUUACGCCGAGCAAACGUCUGUCAGAGAACGGCCUUUAAGAGCUACAAAGCAAUAAAGCCUUACCCUGUAACACGCACGCAGCGAUGCGUGUAAUAAAGUGAACUCAUGCCUCGUAAAUAUCAAACGAUUUCAACGGAAAGGAUUCUCAUCGCUGCUGGCAGAUUUGAAGCCAGAGACAACCAUCAUAACCACACAAUAUGCAAGUUUUUCUUGUACAGGUGUUAACCUGGUGCCAGCAACAAUCUCAGGAUCAUCGCUUGGAUUAAAAGCAUCCCAUUGCAUUGGUUAAUCGAGUUACGGAUCUCUCUUUUUCCUCUUUCUUAAAAGUCCUCGAGUACGCCCAUGUGAAUGUGGGUGUAUUCACG